GGCGCGGGUGCGAAGGCCUUCGUCGCCGGCGCCGACAUCGCCGAGAUGUCGGGCCUGAGCCCGAUCCAGGCCCGCGAUU
rnacentral:tRNA from 1 species